AUACGGAGGGUGCGAGCGUUAAUCGGAAUUACUGGGCGUAAAGCGUACGUAGGCGGUUGGUUAAGUUAGAUGUGAAAGCCCCGGGCUUAACCUGGGAACUGCAUUUAAAACUGGCGAACUAGAGUUGAGUAGAGGGGAGUGGAAUUUCAGGUGUAGCGGUGAAAUGCGUAGAGAUCUGAAGGAACACCAGUAGCGAAGGCGACUCCCUGGACUCGAACUGACGCUGAGGUACGAAAGCGUGGGUAGCAAACGGGAUUAGAUACCCUAGUAGUCC
rnacentral:rRNA from 1 species